rnacentral:rRNA from 1 species
AACGAACGCUGGCGGCGUGCUUAACACAUGCAAGUCAAACGGGUGGUAACACCACGUGGCGCACGGGUGAGUAAUGCAUGGGUCAUCUGCCUCGUAGAGGGGGAUAACUACGCGAAAGUGUAGCUAAUACCGCAUACGCAGGAGACUGCAAAGGAGGGGACCGCAAGGCCUUCCGCUACGAGAUGAGCUCAUGUCCCAUUAGCUUGUUGGCGGGGUAACAGCCCACCAAGGCGAAGAUGGGUAGCUGGUCUGAGAGGACGAUCAGCCACACUGGAACUGAGACACGGUCCAGACUCCUACGGGAGGCAGCAGUGGGGAAUAUUGCGCAAUGGGCGAAAGCCUGACGCAGCAACGCCGCGUGAGUGAUGAAGGCCUUCGGGUUGUAAAGCUCUUUCGGUUGGGAAGAAGGGUGUGCGGACUAAUACUCCGUACAUUUGAUGGUACCAAAAGAAGAAGCACCGGCUAACUUCGUGCCAGCAGCCGCGGUAAUACGAAGGGUGCGAGCGUUGUUCGGAAUGACUGGGCGUAAAGGGUUCGUAGGCGGGAGAGCAAGUUAAGUGUGAAAUCCCCAGGCUCAACCUGGGACGUGCAUUUAAAACUGCUUUUCUUGAGUCGAGGAGAGGGUGAUGGAAUUGCUGGUGUAGGAGUGACAUCCGUAGAGAUCAGCAGGAACACCGGAGGCGAAGGCGAUCACCUGGCCGAAGACUGACGCUGAGGCACGAAAGCGUGGGUAGCGAACAGGAUUAGAUACCCUGGUAGUCCACGCCCUAAACGAUGCUCACUCGAUAUUUGCUUUACGGAGUAAGUGUCCAAGCGAAAGCGUUAAGUGAGCCACCUGGGGAGUACGUUCGCAAGAAUG